CUUCCGGCACGGCCCCCCCGCCGCCAUGGCUCCCUCAGGGGAGCGGGCGGUUUUUUUGCCUGAGGCGAGGCGCUGGUAGUGAGGAGCACAGAGCAAAAAGGGAAGUCUGUAGAAAAGUGACUGUGUCAGUGAAAGCGCAGAGAUGAAGUACAGAAGUCCUGCCUUGGACACCUUGAGUUUGGACAUGACAAAGCUACAGUGCCUGAGAACAGCAUUUCAAACCACUAGCCCAAGAGCCAUGGCAACAGCUCCAUUUAGCCAUAGGUCCGCAGAUGUCAGGGUAGCCAAUUACAGCUGAACCAGAGUGGAUUCAAUUGCACAUCAUGACACUGCAGUACUGAAUUAAGCAUCUCAUUUAAGGAAUAUUUUUAUGCAGAAGUCUGAAUGUCACCGCUGGCUCUGCUGAAGCUGAAAAAUGAAGUGUGAUGAUGGUCUUGUUUGGGCAACACUGUGAUAUAUAAGGAUAUAGUAAAGUAACCUAAUCUC